UACGUAGGGCGCAAGCGUUGUCCGGAAUUAUUGGGCGUAAAGAGCUCGUAGGCGGUCUGUCGCGUCCGUUGUGAAAACUCGAGGCUCAACCUCGGGCUUGCAGUGGAUACGGGCAGACUAGAGUGCGGUAGGGGAGACUGGAAUUCCUGGUGUAGCGGUGGAAUGCGCAGAUAUCAGGAGGACACCAAUAGCGAAGGCAGCUCGCUGGGACGUUACUGACACUAAGGCGCGAAAGCGUGGGGAGCGAACAGG
rnacentral:rRNA from 1 species